rnacentral:rRNA from 1 species
UACAGGAGGUCUCAAGCGUUGUUCGGAUUCAUUGGGCGUAAAGGGUGCGUAGGUGGCGUCGUAAGUCGGGUGUGAAAUUUCGGAGCUUAACUCCGAAACUGCAUUCGAUACUGCGGUGCUUGAGGACUGGAGAGGAGACUGGAAUUUACGGUGUAGCAGUGAAAUGCGUAGAGAUCGAUAAGGAAGACCAGUGGCGAAGGCGGGUCUCUGGACAGUUCCUGACACUGAGGCACGAAGGCCAGGGGAGCAAACGGG